AUUUAAUUCGUGAUGAUACUGUGUACGUUGUUUUUAGCGUCCGAUUCGAUUUUUGUUUUGACAAAUCAAACCGGUGUGAAAAAAAAAAUCCGUCACCGAAAUUUCAGAAUUCAGCUAUCUGAAUGGGUUUGCUUGACCUCUGCUUAAUCGUAAUCCAUUGAGCAUUGAUGGUGCAAAAGGAAAGCAACAUACGGGUGGUUCCUGAACAAUCGCUUUCAAGUCACGUUAACUUGGCAGCUGCAAUUACGGCUACGGAAAGAUGUCACGGAUGAAACCAACGCUGUAAUUGGUGUCUAUUCCAAAUGUCCAUAUACACGAUGAUGGCUGUUCCGGUGAAGCGUUGUUAGCGAUAGGAACGAAGAUAACGAUAUGCUUAAUGAGGUGGUUUGCGCGGAAGAUUUGCAAUGUAGAGUCCAGCAAAAGCAGUUCAAUACCAACAGAAAAUCAUCCGGAAUUCGGAUUCGAUCAUCGAACCCAUCUACAAGCGCGAAUUUCGAGCUACAUAUCAUCAACAUAUUGGCGAAAAUUAUUAAAAAGAUUUUGAAAGUAGUGCAGGUAACUCUAAAAAACAUGUAAUAUUAAAUCUUAAAUUAUUAUUAUCAGAAAUGCACAAAAGUAAAAACAUGGAA